rnacentral:tRNA from 1 species
GUAGUCGUGGCCUAGUGGUUAAGGUGAUUGACUGGAGAUCAAAAGGUCUGUUCGAUCCCCAGCUCCA